rnacentral:rRNA from 1 species
GUGGGGAAUUUUGGACAAUGGGGGCAACCCUGAUCCAGCCAUGCCGCGUGCGGGAAGAAGGCCUUCGGGUUGUAAACCGCUUUUGUCAGGGAAGAAAUCCUUUGGGUUAAUACCUCGGAGGGAUGACGGUACCUGAAGAAUAAGCACCGGCUAACUACGUGCCAGCAGCCGCGGUAAUACGUAGGGUGCGAGCGUUAAUCGGAAUUACUGGGCGUAAAGCGUGCGCAGGCGGUUUUGUAAGAUCGAUGUGAAAUCCCCGGGCUCAACCUGGGAACUGCAUUGGUGACUGCAAGGCUGGAGUGCGGCAGAGGGGGAUGGAAUUCCGCGUGUAGCAGUGAAAUGCGUAGAUAUGCGGAGGAACACCGAUGGCGAAGGCAAUCCCCUGGGCCUGCACUGACGCUCAUGCACGAAAGCGUGGGGAGCAAACAGGAUUAGAUACCCUUGUAGUCCU